UUUAAGGAGGGCCCUUGGGAGGAAGGAGGGGAUGCGGACAAUGUGUGGAUGAAGAUGGCGACUUGCAUUCGUAAGGUGGCCUCGGAGGAGUUUGGAGUGUCCAGGGGAAGGAGAAGCGAAGAUAAGGAUACCUGGUGGUGGAAUGAUGAUGUCCAGAAGGCGCUUAAAGAGAAGAAAGAUUGCUUCAGACGCCUAUACCUGGAUAGGAGUGCAGACAACAUAGAGAAGUACAAGAUGGAGAAGAAGGCCGCAAAGCGAGCUGUUGGUGAAGCAAGGGGUCGGGCAUAUGAGGACCUCUACCAA
rnacentral:rRNA from 1 species